AUCGAACGCUGGCGGCAGGCUUAAUACAUGCAAGUCGAGCGAGCGGCGGACGGGUGAGCAAUGUCUGGGCAACUGCCUGACGGAGGGGGCUAACUACUGGAAACGGUAGAUACGACCGCAUACCAUCAGAUGUUCUCAGAUGGGAUUAGCUAGUAGGUGGGGUAAUGGCUAACAUAGGCGUCGAUCCCUAGCUGGUCUGAGAGGAUGACGAGCCACACUGGAACGGAGACACGGUCCAGACUCCUACGGGAGGCAGCAGUGGGGAAUAUUGCACAAUGGGGGCAAGCCUGAUGCAGCCAUGCCGCGUGUAUGAAGAAGGCCUUCGGGUUGUAAAGUACUUUCAGCGGGGAGGCGUUACCCGAAGAAGAAGCACCGGCUAACUCCGUGCCAGCCGCCGCGGUAAUAC
rnacentral:rRNA from 1 species